rnacentral:tRNA from 1 species
AGUGAGAUAAGCUAUUCAAGCUAGCGGGUUCAUACCCCGAAAAAGAGAAGUUUCUCUCUCACUA